rfam:Ascaris suum AG00171, whole genome shotgun sequence.
GCUCGUUGAGGUAGUAGGUUGUAUAGUUGCGAGCUGCAUCCUUUCGAGAAACUGUCCAGCCUGCUAGCUUGCCGCGC